UCUUGUUUGUAGGUUGGGGUCAUGAUGAUAAAGAAGUAUGCUAAAUACAAAAGCAAUAUGUCAAGGGACGCAAACUUUAACAUUCCAACACUCACGCAGAUGCUCACGCAGACGCAGACGCCGACGCCGGGAUGUUCCAGUAAUCCAUGACAAGUUGCUGAAGACUACAGAGGAAUGAACGAUCACACAUCUUCAUCAGGAUCGCUGAAGAGCUUGUUUUUAGCUCUAGAUCACACAGAGAGAGAACAAGCAGAGCAUGUUAAAGACUCACAGGUGAUGGAAGUUACUAGUGUUUUAUUCAUGGAAACAUCGAUGAAUGAAAAUACAUUAUAUAUAUAAAUGUAAGUUAAAGUAAAUGCAAGUGAACAUGAGGGUGUUAAAGCAAAUGUAAGGGAACUAACCCAAACAGUGUUGUCAAUUGAAACUUAUGAUUUAUUUCCCUUCUUAAUUUUACAGUAUAGUACAAUGUGUAAGUA